GUGCUUGCUUCAGCAGCACGUAUACUAAAAUUGGAAUGAUACAGGGAAGAUUAGCAUGGCCCCUGCACAAGGAUGACACAAAUUCAUGAAGCAUUCCAUAGUUUU